rnacentral:rRNA from 1 species
CACGUAGUUAGCCGUGGCUUAUUCAAGGGGUACCGUCUUCUGCUCUUCCCCCUUAAAAGAAGUUUACAACCCGAAAGCCUUCUUCCUUCACGCGGCGUUGCUGGGUCAGGCUUGCGCCCAUUGCCCAAUAUUCCCCACUGCUGCCUCCCGUAGGAGUCUGGGCCGUAUCUCAGUCCCAAUGUGGCCGGUCAACCUCUCAGUCCGGCUACUGAUCGUCGCCUAGGUGGGCCGUUACCCCGCCUACUAGCUAAUCAGACGCGAGGCCAUCUUCCAGCGAUAAAUCUUUGACAUGUCCGUGAUGCCACGGCCAUGUGUCAUGCGGUAUUAGCAGUCGUUUCCAACUGUUGUCCCCCUCUGGAAGGCAGGUUCCUCACGCGUUACUCACCAGUCCGCCACUAAGCAUUCCCUUCCAUUGUCCGAAAACUCUUUCAGGGGUGCUCCGUUCGACUUGCAUGUGUUAAGCACGCCGCCAGCGUUCGUCCUGAGCCAGGAUCAAACUCU